rnacentral:misc_RNA from 1 species
GAUGAAGAACGCAGCGAAAUGCGAUAAGUAAUGCGAAUUGCAGAAUCCGUGAGUCAUCGAAUCUUUGAACGCAUAUUGCGCCCUUUGGUAUUCCGAAGGGCAUGCCUGUUCGAGCGUCAUUAUCACCCCUCAAGCUCUGCUUGGUGUUGGGCCCUGCCCGCUGCGGCCGGCCCUAAAGACAGUGGCGGUGCCGCCUGGCCCUGAGCGUAGUACAUCUCUCGCUCCAGUGCCCGGUGGUAGCCUGCCAGAACCCCAACUCUCGUGGUUGACCUCGGAUCAGGUAGGGAUACCCGCUGAACUUAAGCAUAUCAAUAAGCGGAGGA